UAGGUUGUGGAUACCCGUGCAUUAGUUGUACCUUUAUUUCAUCUCUUGUAUAUAACGAAAAGGAUGCAUUUUGGGAGAUAAAAUUGUAUAUAAAGACAGAUGUAAAAGAUUUGUAUUUUGGUUAGAUGUAAUCAAGUUUAGUGAAUGGAUGUAAUAGUUAGGAUUUACUUUGUAAGGUAUCGGACUUCUAAAAUUAUGAAGUUACGGUGCGAUGUAAUGUGUGAAUUUUAAAUGUAAAAGUGAAAAUAAAUAAAAAUAGUAUGAGAUACUAUUUUUAUUGGAUUUAGAGAAGUGAAAUAUAUGUUGGGAAUGACCUGUGCUGAAAUCGAAGCGAAAACAGAAUAUUUAGAAUUUCCUGUGUGAAACGGGACGGAUAAAUUAGCAGAAAAUGCACAGUGUCAGAAAAUUAUGAAAACUGGAGGAUAAGUCAGAAUUAUUUUUACGAGGUUAGAUUUAAAGUUUCAGCCCAUUCUAACACCUGGAAGGUGAAAAAUAAAAUCCGACAGUUAUCUGAUAAAGAUUACAAUUCGGUACAGAUUUUGGUGACCAAACGGGGUCGAAACUGAAAGAUUAAAAUUUCUUUCGUUAAGUUAAGCAAAACCGAACAUGACUGUCAAAUUUGAGCUCAAACGGAUAUUCAGGGAGCUCCGACGAAAAAUAUCAGAUUUGGAGCUGCCUGAUGUGAAUAGUAUAUGCUACUAUUGAGGGUUGACUAUAAGUAGAAGCUUCUAGUGACUUGGCUUCUUCUUCACAGCCAAGCACCACCCCCACAAGAGCACGUUCAUGGUGGUAGUGAGAGAAAUCCUCACUUUCUCUCUCUAAAUAACUCUCUCAUCUCUCUAGAUCUUUCGCCUAAAUUCGCGGCGUUGGCGGAGAACGAGCUUACGAACGCAUUGGGAGCGACGGAUCGAGUUUUCGUGCGCCCGUUGGAGCGGCGUGCUUCCGUCUCGGCAUUCAUAUUUUGGUAAGCUAUCGGGAUUUGGCUUAAUCCUUAAGUUUAAGUGUUCUAAUAGCCUCUAAUGUGAAGUUAGCUUGUUAAAUCCUUAAUAUUUGGAUUGUUUGGAGCAUAUGUUGAGGCUAGGGUGUGAAAAUGGGGGUUUACAAAUUAGGUGGGGUUUGAUCUAAUUUGACCCUUCGUAAACCUAAUUGCAAGGUAAACGAACGCGUUGGCGAAGUCGGUUCGGCGAUUCGUCGAGCCGUUGUAAAGUUAUUAAAGAAACGGUCGUUUAGGCUUCGUUUCCGCCUGGAGGGCCGAGGCGACAUCGUAUACUCAUGAAAACGGAUUUGAAGCAUCGUGGCACAUAACCGAAGACCUUUAAUUUUCGGAUCGUGAAUUGGAGGCCGUUCGGGUGGUCGCGCGAGAGAUCGGGCCAAACCGGGUGCCGGGUGCCGCGGGAGGCCGAUUGCAAGUGUCGACAAGCAAUCGGAAUGCGAUAAAAGGUGGGGGGUGUCAUCCCGAAGCAACUGAGCUUCCUUUUAUGUCUAAGUUCUAUAUCUUGAUCAUAUUCCUAUAUGUUGAUAUAUUGUGCAUUAUAGGAUUAGUAGAUGAUUACAUUUCCAUUCCUUGCAUGUUACCUAGGUUGUGUAGCAUUGUGGGCUUGACACUUGAUCUUAGGUUGCAUGAGGAUUGGGUCUUGUGACAAGAAUCCUAUAGUGACAAGAAUGAUGAUGAACUUUGACAUGUAAUUGGCCUAGACGAGUGGCAUUUGAACUAGUGUAACAAAGACACUAUAAUAUUGACGAGUGGCAUGUCGAUUUAGUGUAUUAAGACACAUAUAACAUCAUGACAUAGACGAGUGGCAUCAAAUCUAGUGUAGUGGAACACUAUGGCAUUUGAACCUAGGGAUAGUAGAUUUUCCCGAUUGUCAUGUUGUAGACAUUAUGCAUUUGGCAUUAGUGCAUUUGAGGCAUUGAUUAUGCAUUUGGCAUUAGUGCAUUUGAGGCAUUGAUUAUGCAUUUGGUAUUGUGCAGCAGAGGCACAUUGACCCUGGUAGAUAGGGUAUCCUCGUAAGAGGAUUGGAUCAUACUCACUAGUCUGUUUUUACUUGUCGGUGGUCGCUCCACCGAGGCACGAGUCUCCGGAGUACUUCACUAGGGGCAGACGUAGUUGUCCCGCAGGCGGUCUCGGUGUGCGAGUGCAGCUUCUCCUCACCUAUGAGAUUGAGAGUGAGUCGAGGGCGUAACCUUCGGGUUAGCCAAGCAGAUUGGGUAAAGAAUAUGAAUGGCGUAGCAGAUUUGCAUUCAUACCUUGAAUUGACAUUGAGACAUAGUAGCAUGUUGUAGAUACAUCACUAUGUAGUAGCUUAUUUCCUUAUUGUUGAGACAUAGUAGCAUGUUGUAGAUACAUCACUAUGUAGUAGUUCAUUUUCUUAUUGUUGAGACAUAGUAGCAUGUUGUAGAUACAUCACUAUGUAGUAGCUCACUUCCUUAUUGUUGAGACAUAGUAGCAUGUGUAGAGACAUCACUAUGUAGUAGCUCAUUUCCUUAUUGUUGAGACAUAGUAGCAUAUUGUAGAUACAUUACUAUGUAGUAACUCAUUUCCACUAUUGUUGAAGCAUAGUAUCAUGAUUAGUAGAAUAUCAUUGCUAUGUUCAUGCAUUCCAUGAUUACAGAGGCAUAGUAGCAUGUGUAUAUUCCAUUACUAUGUAGCAGCUCGUACCUAGUAGAGCGAGAUUGAGUCGGGCGAGGAGCGGGGUAGCUCUUUGCCUAGGACCUUCGAGAUUGAGUCGGGCAAGGAGCGGGGUAGCUCUUUGUCUAGGACCUUUGAGAUUUGAGAUCUUAGGCAAGUUGGCCUAGUCGAUUGGGUUGUAACAUGAAUAGCAUAAGUGGAUUGCAUUCAUGCCAUGAUUGGACAUAGUAGACUGCAUAACUAUGUUGUAGUUGUAUUUAUUACACUGUUGAAGCAUACUAGCAUGAUAGUAGGUUAUUGCUAGAUGAUGUUCCAUGCAUUCUUUGCAUUUGAUGGCAUAGUAGAUAUAGUAGCAAUGUAUUUCUAUCUACCUUUCUAUCUAUCUAUCUGUGCCAGCUUAGACCUAGUGGGAAAACCGGCGGCGUCGGCGGCCGAACCCACUGGGAACUAUAUUUAUAUAGUUCUCACCCCGUGUGGUUUUGGGGUACAG
rnacentral:lncRNA from 1 species